rnacentral:rRNA from 1 species
GAUGAACGCUGGCGGCGUGCCUAAUACAUGCAAGUCGAGCGAACAGACGAGGAGCUUGCUCCUCUGACGUUAGCGGCGGACGGGUGAGUAACACGUGGAUAACCUACCUAUAAGACUGGGAUAACUUCGGGAAACCGGAGCUAAUACCGGAUAAUAUAUUGAACCGCAUGGUUCAAUAGUGAAAGACGGUUUUGCUGUCACUUAUAGAUGGAUCCGCGCCGCAUUAGCUAGUUGGUAAGGUAACGGCUUACCAAGGCGACGAUGCGUAGCCGACCUGAGAGGGUGAUCGGCCACACUGGAACUGAGACACGGUCCAGACUCCUCGGGAGGCAGCAGUAGGGAAUCUGCCGCAAUGGGCGAAAGCCUGACGGAGCAACGCCGCGUGAGUGAUGAAGGUCUUCGGAUCGUAAAACUCUGUUAUGAGGGAAGAACAAAUGUGUAAGUAACUAUGCACGUCUUGACGGUACCUAAUCAGAAAGCCACGGCUAACUACGUG